rnacentral:rRNA from 1 species
UACAGAGGGUGCGAGCGUAAUCGGAAUUACUGGGCGUAAAGCGUGCGUAGACGGUUAUUUAAGUCGGGUGUGAAAGCCCCGGGCUCAACCUGGGAAUUGCAUUCGAGACUGAAUAGCUAGGGUACGGUAGAGGGAAGUGGAAUUUCCGGUGUAGCGGUGAAAUGCGUAGAUAUCGGAAGGAACAUCAGUGGCGAAAGCGACUUCCUGGACCAGUACCGACGUCAGGCACGAAAGCGUGGGGAGCAAACAGGA